AACGAACGCUGGCGGCAGGCUUAACACAUGCAAGUCGAGCGCAUCCUUCGGGGUGAGCGGCGGACGGGUGAGUAACGCGUGGGAACGUGCCCUCUUCUACGGAAUAGCCUCGGGAAACUGAGAGUAAUGCCGUAUACGCCCGCAAGGGGAAAGAUUUAUCGGAGGAGGAUCGGCCCGGGUUGGAUUAGGUAGUUGGUGGGGUAACGGCCUACCAAGCCGACGAUCCAUAGCUGGUUUGAGAGGAUGAUCAGCCACACUGGGACUGAGACACGGCCCAGACUCCUACGGGAAGCAGGAGUGGGGAAUCUUGGACAAUGGGGGCAACCCUGAUCCAGCCAUGCCGCGUGAUCGAUGAAGGCCUUAGGGUUGUAAAGAUCUUUCAGCUGGGAAGAUAAUGACGGUACCAGCAGAAGAAGCCCCGGCUAACUCCGUG
rnacentral:rRNA from 1 species